UACGAAGGGGGCUAGCGUUGCUCGGAAUUACUGGGCGUAAAGGGCGCGUAGGCGGUUCUAUAAGUCAGGCGUGAAAUUCCUGGGCUUAACCUGGGGGCUGCGCUUGAGACUGUGGGACUUGAGGUCAGAAGAGGGUCGUGGAAUUCCCAGUGUAGAGGUGAAAUUCGUAGAUAUUGGGAAGAACACCGGUGGCGAAGGCGGGUCUCUGGGCCGAAACUGACGCUGAGGAGCGAAAGCGUGGGGAGCGAACAGG
rnacentral:rRNA from 1 species